GGCUCAGGAUGAACGCUGGCGGCGUGCCUAAUACAUGCAAGUCGAACGAGGUGCUUUGUAGCAAUACGAAGUAUCCUAGUGGCGAACGGGUGAGUAACGCGUUGGUGACCUACCCCAAAGUGUGGGAUAACAGUCCGAAAGGAUUGCUAAUACCGCAUGUGGUCUUCGGAUUUAGAAACUGAUGACUAAAGGAGCAAUUCGCUUUGGGAGGGACCUGCGUCCCAUCAGCUAGUUGGUGAGGUAACGGCUCACCAAGGCGACGACGGGUAGGGGACCUGAGAGGGUGGCCCCCCACAAUGGAACUGAAACACGGUCCAUACACCUACGGGUGGCAGCAGUAGGGAAUAUUGGUCAAUGGGCGAAAGCCUGAACCAGCAACGCCGCGUGUGCGAUGAAGGCCUUCGGGUCGUAAAGCACUUUUCUGGGAGAUGAGAAAGGACAGUAUCCCAGGAAUAAGUCUCGGCUAACUACGUGCCAGCAGCCGCGGUAAAACGUAGGAGGCGAGCGUUAUCCGGAUUCACUGGGCGUAAAGCGCGUGCAGGUGGCUUGGUAAGUUAGGCGUGAAAUCUCCCGGCUCAACUGGGAGAGGUCGUCUAAUACUACCGGGCUUGAGAGCAGAAGAGGAAGAUGGAAUUCCCGGUGUAGUGGUGAAAUGCGUAGAUAUCGGGAGGAACACCAGUGGCGAAGGCGAUCUUCUGGUCUGUUUCUGACACUCAGACGCGACAGCUAGGGUAGUAAACGGGAUUAGAGACCCCGGUAAUCCUAGCCGUAAACGAUGUAAACUUGGCGUUGGUGGGUUAAACUCCAUCAGUGCCGCAGCAAACGCGAUAAGUU
rnacentral:rRNA from 1 species